rnacentral:rRNA from 1 species
UACGGGGGGGGUAAGCGUUGUUCGGAAUUAUUGGGCGUAAAGGGUAGGUAGGUGGUCUCAUUUGUCUGGGGUGAAAUCCUUGAGCUUAACUCAAGAACUGCCCCAGAAACGGUGAGACUAGAGUCCUAGAGAGGGUCGUGGAAUUCCCGGUGUAGCGGUGAAAUGCGUAGAUAUCGGGAAGAACACCAAUGGCGCAGGCAAUCUGCUAGGCUAUUACUGACACUGAAGGACGAAAGCGUGGGGAGCGAAUGGG